UUGUACCAUUCUAAUCCUUGCUGUUCAGUCAGAGAUCUUCCAGGCUUCUUUUGUGGACUAGAGCACCCUAGAAGCCCUGCCAAAGUUGAACAAGGCCUUUGUAGCCUCAUGCAAGUGACACUUCUUAACACAC
rnacentral:snoRNA from 1 species